rnacentral:rRNA from 1 species
GUGGAUAACCUGCCCUUGGGACCGGCAUAACCCCGGGAAACUGGGGAUAAUUCCGGAUAACGCACAUAUGCUGGAAUGCUUUAUGCGUAAAAUGGAUUCGUCCGCCCAAGGAUGGGUCUGCGGCCUAUCAGGUAGUAGUGGGUGUAAUGUACCUACUAGCCAACAACGGGUACGGGUUGUGAGAGCAAGAGCCCGGAGAUGGAUUCUGAGACAUGAAUCCAGGCCCUACGGGGCGCAGCAGGCGCGAAAACUUUACAAUGCGGGAAACCGUGAUAAGGGGACACCGAGUGCUAGCAUCAUAUGCUGGCUGUCCAGGUGUGUAAAAUACACCUGUUAGCAAGGGCCGGGCAAGACCGGUGCCAGCCGCCGCGGUAACACCGGCGGCCCGAGUGGUGAUCGUGAUUAUUGGGUCUAAAGGGUCCGUAGCCGGUUUGGUCAGUCCUCCGGGAAAUCUGAUAGCUUAACUAUUAGGCUUUCGGGGGAUACUGCCAGACUUGGAACCGGGAGAGGUAAGAGGUACUACAGGGGUAGGAGUGAAAUCUUGUAAUCCCUGUGGGACCACCUGUGGCGAAGGCGUCUUACCAGAACGGGUUCGACGGUGAGGGACGAAAGCUGGGGGCACGAACCGGAUUAGAUACCCGGGUAGUCCCAGCCGUAAACGAUGCUCGCUAGGUGUCAGGCAUGGCGCGACCGUGUCUGGUGCCGCAGGGAAGCCGUGAAGCGAGCCACCUGGGAAGUACGGCCGCAAGGCUGAAACUUAAAGGAU